rnacentral:rRNA from 1 species
AUACAGAGGGUGCGAGCGUUAAUCGGAAUUACUGGGCGUAAAGCGCGCGUAGGCGGCUUGGUCAGUCGGAUGUGAAAGCCCCGGGCUCAACCUGGGAAUGGCAUUCGAUACUGCCAGGCUAGAGUAUGGGAGAGGGAAGUGGAAUUUCCGGUGUAGCGGUGAAAUGCGUAGAUAUCGGAAAGAACACCAGUGGCGAAGGCGACUUUCUGGCCCAAUACUGACGCUGAGGUGCGAAAGCGUGGGGAGCGAACAGGAUUAGAAACCCUAGUAGUCC